GAAAUGCGAUAAGUAAUGUGAAUUGCAGAAUUCAGUGAAUCAUCGAAUCUUUGAACGCAUCUUGCGCUCCUUGGUAUUCCUUGGAGCAUGCCUGUUUGAGUAUCAUGAAAUCUUCAAAGUAAAUCUUUUGUUAACUCAAUUGGUUUCUACUUUGGUAUUGGAGGUCUUUGCAGCUUCACACCUGCUCCUCUUUGUUCAUUAGCUGGAUCUCAGUGUUAUGCUUGGUUCCACUCGGCGUGAUAAGUUAUCUAUCGCUGAGGACACUCUAAAAGGUGGCCAAGGUAAAUGCAGAUGAACCGCUUCUAAUAGUCCAUUGACUUGGACAAUACUUUUAUGAUCUGAUCUCAAAUCAGGUAGGACUACCCGCUGAACUUAAGC
rnacentral:misc_RNA from 1 species